AACGUAGGACGCAAGCGUUAUCCGGAGUUACUGGGCGUAAAGGGCGUGUAGGCGGCUAUUCAAGUGGCUCGUGAAAGACUUCGGCUCAACCGGGGGUGGUCGGGUCAGACUGGAUGGCUAGAGGAUGUCAGAGGGACACGGAAUUCCGGGUGUAGUGGUGAAAUGCGUAGAGAUCCGGAGGAACACCAGUGGCGCAGGCGGUGUCCUGGGACGUACCUGACGCUGAGACGCGAAAGCAUGGGGAGCGAACGGG
rnacentral:rRNA from 1 species